CAAAUCCAACUCCACUCCAACCACCCCACCCCGAUACAAAGCGAUCUUGGCUCCCAGGGCUCCAGGCUGUCCUACCAGAGGUGAGGAGUGGUUAAAACUCAGCCCUCACCUCCAGCGGGUCCCGGGCUCCACGGCGCCCAGGCCCCGCCCCCGCCCGCCCUUCCCCCACGGCCUCCGCACGCCAGCCCCUCUCCCCUCUCCCCUUCGGGCGCACCCACCCCAGAUGCCGCCUGGCACCGAGCACAACCGCCGCCGUCGCCGCAGCACUUUCCACUUGUAUUGAUCACCUCUCAGCUCUGCUCAGCCUGCUCGCCGGAGCGGAGCGCGGCCAGCGCGCCAGCCCUUGGCAGCCCCGGCGCAGUCGGGCUCCGGGAGGAAACUCCUUGGGAGCGCCCUGUCCGGGGUGCCCUCUGCGCUCUGCAGUGUCUUUCUCUCUGCCUGGGAGGAGGAGGAGGAGGAGGACGUCUGGUCCCGGCUGGGAGGUGGAGCAGCGGCAGCAGCAGCCGCCGAGGCAGCCGCCGCCGCCUCCGGAAAGGGAGAGGCAGGAGAGAUCGAGACUUGGAAACCCCAAAGUGUUCGCGACCCUGCACGGCAGGCUCCCUUCCAGCUUCAUGGGCAAAGUGUGGAAACAGCAGAUGUACCCUCAAUACGCCACCUACUACUACCCCCAGUAUCUGCAAGCGAAGGUAAAGGGGCGCGGGGGGGAGGGUAGAUGAGGAGGGGGAAGCGGGGGCGAGCUGCGAGCCCCCGCCGCCCCCCGGCGGAGUUGAUGGAAGGUUGCUAACUAUAGCGCUGGCCUGGGCAGAACCCGACUGCGCGCGGGGCGGCGGCUUCCCGGGGAGCCGAUUGCGGGGAUCGGGUUACAGAAAGCCGCGGGGGGGAGAGACUAGACAGGAAAGAGCCGCCAGCCCCUUCCUGGCCCGGGAGGCGGGGAGGGUCGCGAGCCCUAGCAGCGCCCCUUGUACAACGUUGGCUGGCCAGCGGCCAACGCUUGGGGCCCGCGGCAGGACCCGCUGGUGGCACGUCUUCGACCCCUUCUCCAGGGCCUCGCCCUGCAAGCAGUAACUCUUGGCUUCCCUGGAGUGGUGCGGAGCCUCCCGCCCCCCAGGGAAGCCCCUCUACCUCCCGCGCGCUCGGUGACUGGGGCUUGAGGGAGGGCCGGGACAUUUUCCUCCCCGCCUCUGGCCCUGCGCGCCCGCCCCUCGCCUCUGAUCUUUGUGCGGUGUGGCACUUCACCUGGUUACUGAUUUCUACUUUUACGCUGGUGUUUUGGGCGGAAAAGUGGACAAAGUUCAUUUAGCAUUCAUUGAUGUCCCUUUUAAUCUUGUCUGCAGCUUUUGCAAAGGAGGGACAAUGGUCAGAUUUCCGCGCAGUGAAAGAAAUGACUUCGUUUUUAUUUUUAUUUUUCUCUACUACCCUAUAUGUUUACCCCAGAUCGAUUGUCAAUGCUGCUAUCUCCAAAGUUGACUCGGCACACUCUUAGGUAACACAGCUAAUGACAUGUAGCCGGGUAGAUUGCGGCUAGCUUUCUAGGGACCCCGGGUACUUUGUUAACGGGCCUAUCUUAUUUUUCCAACAACAAUUGGAUGCCUCCUGAAAUAAAUUUUUAAGAAUUACAUGGGUCCACGAAGAGUGGAAAUUUCACUGCUUUGGAAGCUUCUUCCACAAUUUGGGAGGGCGGUAGUUGGAUGCACCAGCGGCCUUCAGCCAGUAUCAUGUAGCCCAACUCCUGGUGCCCUUCUAGAUCACAAAAGAAUCAGGUAUGGAUGCAGUCACUGAACUUUCCAUGGGAGAUUGCAAUCAUGCCCUGCUAGUUGGCAUUUGGGCAUUUCUGGCCUGGUAUUAAGAAGCUCUGAUUCAACCUUGAUAAGCUUUUCUUUCUUAUGCCGUGUGUGGUCCCGCUGUCAUGCACCUACAACAUGACCCUGUAUUUUUUUUUUAAUUUUUUUUUUUAAUAUUUAUUUAUUUAUUUUAGUUUUCGGCGAACACAACAUCUUUGUUUGUAUGUGGUGCUGAGGAUCGAACCCGGGCCGCACGCAUGCCAGGCGAGCGCGCUACCGCUUGAGCCACAUCCCCAGCCCAUGACCCUGUAUUUUUGUCCAUGUAAAAUAAGGACACUUGUCAGCAAGAUCGAAAUUUCUUAGCACUGGUGGGCCACACUUUCACUCCCUCCCAAUUCCUUGGGUUACCAGAGAGCAGUAAGAUGGAAGCAGCAAGGAUACCCCGAUAUUCAUUUCUCUGUAGUUCUCAUGUAAUUGUUGUCAAGAACUUGAGGGAGAUGCUAGUUUUUUGUUAGCUACAAUGUAGCUGUUCAAAGAAAUUUUGUAGUGUAAUCAAUGCUCUACCUUUUAGACACGUUAUAUAUUUAAUGAACUUGUUUAAAUUAUGCAGUAUUGGGUGCCUAAAGGACAGCCUAUUCAACACUUAAGUCUAUGAAUAAUAAAUACAUACACUCAGGUGAGGAAGAAAAAGAGCCAUGUUACUACUGGCACAUUUACCUUAGUAAUUUUUAUGUACCAUUAGUAAGUUAGAAACCAAGUAUAUAACAUUUAAUAUAGCUAAUGCAAUGCCAUUUGGCUCCUCCACCCCACCCCCUGUAAAUAAUUGAAGAGAGAGACAAACGGCAAGAGCCUGCUCUAGUAAUUAGGGUCGGAUCCCAGAAAGCUUUAGGACCCAUUUUCUGAAAGUGUGCUUCCUGCAUAAAGCAUUUAAUAUUGAUUUGUGUUACGGUAAAUGACAUUCUCAAAACAUUUUUUUUGCUGUUUGAACUAUGAAAUCUGAAAUCUGGUUACUCUGAAUUUCUUUGUUUCAGGAGAAAGGUACACAUCCUCACUUGACCUAUAUAAUGUGGUAUUAAAGUUUGGUAAUUAAAUCUAAAUUCCCUAUUGUAAAGAUAUCUUGAUUAUCUCAGGAAAAUGAAAAAUUAUCAGAUGCAGAUUUUAGAUAAGAAAAAUUUAGAACAAAUAGCCCCCCCCUUUUUUUUUUUAGUUUCAAUCUAAUUUUCUUUUUUUUUUUUUAUUGGUUGUUCAAAACAUUAUAAAGCUCUUGACAUAUCAUAUUUCAUACAUUAGAUUCAAGUUGGUUAUGAACUCCCAAUUUUACCCCAAAUACAGAUUGCAGAAUCACAUCGGUUACACAUCCACAUUUAAUAGCCCCCCCUUUUUUCUCCUUUACAUAUGUUUUGUUAAUGUGGUAAUAGUGUGAGUCAGUAAAAAAUGUAGACUUAAUAACUAGUGUUGCCUUAUCUACCUAAAGAGUAAAAUCUGCUGUCAGCUGUGAGGAUGCUUGGCUGUAUGUGUGUUUUAACCUUCCUGAAGGAAGGGAUAGAAAAUAUCACUCUGUUUGAAGUACGCUGAUAUGUUUGUUAACCCCAGCUGUUUUGAAACUUCUGUUUGGAAACUAUAUCAAAAGCAGAAGAAUGGUGUAGUCAUUUAAAAAGUGAUUUUGACUUGUGAUCAAGAGACAGAUGUGAUUUUCUAGAAUCAAAAAGGAAUAAAUGGCUGUGAUUUCUUUCAACAGAGAAAUAGAUGAUACCAAUUAAAAUGGCAUUUUAAAAUGAUUUUAUUACCAUAUUUUUUAAAAAGUUAUAUAUGCCAAAUUCCUCUUCUUGUGUUGAUGAUCCAAUCAGAUUAUGUUUUGGCAAAUUUGUGUGGUAAUUUUUUCCCAUAAAAACAUACUAGUUACUUCAACAUUUUAUGCAAAUAUUUAUCGGGCUAUAAUAGGGCACAUGACCAUGUUGGUAUGCUUUGUGCUUUGACAGAAAAAAAUCAUCAGAAAAAAGAAUACAUAUGUACUAAGUAUAAAGUAAAUUUGAGAGUGUUAUGGAAGGGCAGGACAUAGAUGGAAACAAAGAAGAUUAUGUAAUUUUCAUAAUAUGUUAGUGUAGAGUAGCAUAGAUUUCAAGUAACCUGAUUUUUACACACUGUUGGAUUUUUUUUUUGUAUUUCUCAGGCAGGAUGGUCUUAUCACAGCAGGUACUCUUUAUCACCUGACACAUUCAUUCUGAAAUGUAUUUUGAUGUAACUUUGUAAACAAAAGCACAUUAUUGUUCUAAAGGAUUAAAGUGACAUGCUGUAUUAUAAAAAAAUAAAUUCAAUGUCCACUUCUCAGCUGCACAGAAAACAAUUGGCAGUUAACAUUUUAAACUUAAAGAUUUGUGGGUACACAUUUUCAACCAAUGACUAUACAAAUUUUCACUUAUUGUAAAGGCAACCCUUGAAUUAUGGUGUUUAUUUGAAAGUACUACCACAUAUGUCACUACCAAGUUGUGUAUGCAAAUAUUUAUCAGGAUUGAAAUACUUAUUCUAUAUCUUUUGAAGAAAGGAAAGUACAAAAUUUUAUUUACAUGGUUAGUUUGAUAUUUUGUACCAGCUAAUAGCAAUUUGACACAUUUAUAGUUUUCAUUCACAUAGUUAGAAAAAUAUAUUUCUCUUAACUAUAUUAGAAGUUUGAUUACAUUUUUAAGUAUAUAGCAAGAUUGAUUUCUUUGUAUAGGUAUAUGCUGAAGAGCAUUUCUGAACUUAACCUUAAAAUCUGAUAAAACAAUACAUGAUAUAAUUUGGGAUUUCAUUAGUAAGGGAUACUAGGACAAAACAGUUUCUCAGUUGAAGUUUUAUAGGUAUUUACCAUUUUGUUGAAUUCCUUAACUUUUACUUAUUGUAACCAAAUGAAUAUUGUAUCAACAGUAUUCUUAUGUGGAAGAUUAGGAAUCAUGAUUUGAUACAUAAAACUGAGUAAGAAAGUACAUUAAAAGUACAAAUGUAUAAGAACUGGGGUGUUUUGUGUCUUAAGAUGUAACCAUAUUUUAGAGGUGGAUAAAGAUUGCUUAAACAUAUCAAUUUAGUAAUGUAAUAUUUUACACUGAAAAAUCAACUUAAUUUCCUUAGAGAUAUUGUGUCUGUUUGAAAGUUGUGUCAGAAGACUCAAGGUCAUGGAAAUGUUAAAAAAGAAGAUGCAUUAUAAUGCAACACUGUAGUACCCUUCCUUUCUAAUAGUUUUCUUUUGGAUUUCCCAUUCUCUUAUUUUAUAUAUUAUUUUUUCUAUGUUGGUAGUCAAACUUUAAGCUAAUAGAAGAAAAUAGGAAGAGAUAAAUAAAGAGAAGUAGGAAAGCAUUUAAUCUUUCAAUAUCAGUAUAGCUAGAUGUACCUUACAUUUUUUGUCAAUCUAGACUUUGAAUUUAAAUUCAAAGGUGGGCAAUUUCCAUGUAAAACAAUUUCAAGAAAAUACUUUUUAAAAAACUUGACUGAUAAUUGUUCUAAUUUUGUAUUUUGCUUAAUGCUUUAUAAAACUUUAAAUUUAUCCUAGCUUACUUAACAGGUACAGAAAUUUCAGUUACAGGUCUUUUUUGUAAAGACAAACAGUUUUUCCUUUACUUUUUACUAAAAAGGAAGUUGAAAGGAAAGAAAAUUAUUAUUUUUUAAAUUUAGGUAGCCAAUAAAAAUCACAUGAAAAAAAAUCUAGAAUGGAGAGAUAAGUGCUCAGGAAAAAUGAAAUGAAUACUUAAAAUUCAUUCAUUCUUUCUAAAGAUGAAGGAUUUCUUAUCUAGUUUAUUUCAUUUUGUUUGAUUCACUUAAGUUCAUCUUUUCCAAGCAUGGUCUUGCAACCCCAUUGCCUCUCUUCACAAGAUGUGAAUACCUCCCUUGUUCCUGCCUAAUUCCUGAAACAGUAGGUACUAAGUAAAUACUUGUUAAUGAACAUUACUGAGAAAAAAAAUGCAUGCAAAUUUACCUUAGGCCCAAAUCUACAAAAAUAAUAAUGUAGCCUAAUUUUCUAAUGAAAUCUCAAUAUAGUUUAAUUUAUGUUUUGAUUCAUUUUGUUUGUGUAGCAAAACUUUUCAAAUGUUUCAUGAAUUGAGUAAAACCCCUACAAGGAAUCACAUAUUGACUUGUCAAAGCUUAAUUGAUAGAGGCAAAGUGCUCUUCUGUGCAGUCUUCAUUAAAAAUAUGGAUGCCAGGGGCUGGAGUUGUGGCUCAGAGGUAGAGCGUUCGCCUAGCAUGCGUGAAGCACUGGGUUAGAUCCUCAGCACCACAUAAAAAUAAAAUAAAGAUAUUGUGUCCACCUAUAACUAGAAAAUAAAUAUAUAUAUAAAAAAAUAGUUGCCACGGAAAAUCUCAUUGUAGUAUUUUGACUGGGAAAAUAUCACAAACAAUGAAUUGGUUGAUUCAGCCUAUCUAUUCCCCUUAUGACUAGCCCAGCCUCUCUGCCAAUGCUGACCAAAUUUCCUGCCUAAUUUUUCAGAAUAUUUCUUUCUUUCUUUUUUUUUUUGUGGGGGGUAUAUUUCAGACAUAGUAAAAACAUUUAUUCAUUUAAUGAAUAAUAACUAAAACAUUAACUAGAGUUGAGAUGUUAAGGAUUAUAUAGUUAUCUCUGAGUUACUGACAUAACCCUAAACUUGACAUUGGACCAUCUAGGUCUUAAAUUGGGAGACUACAGUUUCUAUCCAAUUCAUUGUAAUAUUAGAGGACUAAGCAGGAAUAUAUCAAGUUGCUCUUAAGUGAGAGUGUUUUUAUUUAACAUAAAAUGGCUAAUUGUAAAGACAACAUAGUAAUGAUAUUUCAGUUAUUUAAAGACAGCUCCAUAAUACUUGGCAUAAAUCAAACCAAAUAUUCAAAAAUUAAACAUUCGGGUUUAGGGAUGUUAUUUGGGAAGAAUUCAAAAGGUUCUGGUUUCUUUGUUAUAUCUUUUUAAUGAAUAAACAGUAAAACCUGAUAGAACUUGGCUGUGUCUCUCCAGAGGCAGCCCUUGGCUGAUACAGUCUCAGGGCUAGGGGUCUGGUCAGGCGAUACACGGCACAGUGUCUUCUUGGGACCACGUGUAUCAAAUACAUGUACAAAUUUGAGCCCACACACAAAUUUGAUAAUAGAAACUAAGCAUUUCUUAAUCCAAUAGAUACGAGGGAGAACGAAAAGAGCAAAGGGGCUAGUGACAGCUAAGCCAACGAUAAACUGAACAUAUAUCUCCCCUAAUCUAAUUCCUUAUUUUUGCUUAAUGUAUCUGGUCUCCUUAACAUAAUUAUAUGAAUAUUUUAAUUUUUCAAACAAGUGCUGGAAAAUAAGUGUGUCAAAGUGAUGAGAGAGAAACAAAAAGGAGAUGGCAAAAUCAACAUCUAGAUCAGCUAGGAGAGCAAAUGUACAAUACGGAGAUUGUCAUUCUCCCUCCAUUUUCUUUUAAGCCUGUUCUCAAAUGGAUGCAUGUCAUUUUAGAAGAUGAAGAAUAAGUACAGUCUUCUUGAUGAUGAAUAUGAAAACCUCGAUUCUAAAAGAUUGUAUGCUAAUAUGAAGUUAACUUGUUUAUAAAUCUGGCACAGUAAGCAUGGAAAACCAUCAACAGGUGAAUGAUGUCCUACGUUGGCCAGAAUGUCUAUGUUCUUGAAUUAGGUUAACUUUUAAGAUGGUAGUUACGAAAAAAUUGCUGAGGCUCAUGAAAAGCUAAAACACUUGCCAAUCAAUUGUUGUGUUGCGGGGCCCUAGUGCACCAUUCCCUGCACUUGACAUUGGGAAAGGUUCGGAGGUAGAGUAUCUGGUUCCUGCUUUCCAGCACUUCACAAAGUACCAGGGAAGACAAAAUAGGCACAGUACAAGAAAUAAGUGAAGAAUAUUUACAAAGUAGUAUAGCCAGAAGGCAGCAUAUCAGCCAAAGGUCUGAGUGACAGAGAAGGCACUAAGAUGUAUGUGGGAUUAAAAACUGCCAUGCAUUUUGUGAGAAAAAGUGAGGUGCUGAUAAAGCCUACAGUGAACCAGGGAAUUUUAGAGAGAAACCAAGCUUUAAAUAAAUGAAUGAAAAUGUCUUGAAUUGAUUGUCAACAUUGUUUUGUCUUGUUACUUUAUAAUUCUCUUGAGAGUACUUAGAAUUUUUAAAGAAUAACAUAUUUUGCACUUUGUGUUUACUCCUUCCCUUAACAUUUUCUUCUUUAAUUACCUUAUUUUAUAUUAUUUCUAGUUUUAUGCUUACCAAUGUGCUGUUAAGCCAACCUAUUAAGGUUGUGACAGGCUGGUAAUGUAAUCCUUCAAUGAUGACAUAAUAGGUAUAUAUAAAUGUUACUUUUCUUAUUUUGAGCCAUUUGAAAUGGUGUUUAUUUCUCCUAACUCAUUAGUCUUGCUUAUAGCAAAGGGGAAAAAAUAAGUUUGGAGUUUUAAAUGCUUCUAAUUUGAUUAUUGCCUGCAGUCUACACAUUGAUGUUGUGUAAUGUGAGCAGGCAAUUUUUUCAGAAGAGAUUUUUAAAAUUAUUCCUGAUCUUUUGUGGACACCUCUGUAUCUGAUCAUUAACUAAUUUUAAUUCUUUUAAAAUAAGUUGUUAUUUAUCUCUGAAAAUGGAAACAAGUGCUUUAAGACUCAUAUUGUCCUCUACUUGGCCUCAGUGGGGAACCCACUGAGUGAUUUCAGGGAAAGGUCUUGUGCAACAAAAUGAGAUCAUGUUAUAGAUGUCAUAAAUAAUUUUCACUGGUCUUGAAGGAAAAAAGUAUCACCUUCCCAGCUCUGCAAGCAUGGACCCACUUCAUAAAAUACCAGUUAUGUUUUUACACGAAUUAAAAAGUUAAGUAUUUAGAAUAGCAGAAUUGAAUGGACACCAUCAUGGAACAUUGUGCUCUUAGCCUGAGUUUCUUGGAUGAAAAUUAAAGUUGCCAAAAAAAUGAAUUUUAUAUUAUAAGCUUAUAUCAAUAGUAUCCUCAUAAAACACUACCAUUCCCUCUGUUGAAUACGUGUUAAUCACAGUGUUUUUGAGUUGCAGUUGGGGGUUUAUUUGUACUCAGAAUCCUCUAAACCCCCCUUUACCCAUAGAAUCACAAGAGGAAAUAUUUUCACAGUUUGUAUAACAAAGUCUCAGGUAAAUUAUUUGGUUAUAUGGAAAAGCAAAUUUUAUUAGAAAUUUAUAAUACCAUAAAAUUUACUUUUGUCAUUCUUUUUUAUUCCUUAUUUUUUUAUUUGUCAAUAGACCUUAUUUUAUUUAUUGAUAUGUGGUGCUGAGUAUGGAACCCAGUGCCUCACACAUGCUAGGCAAGCGUUCUGCCACUGAGCCACAACCCCAGCCCUACUUUUCUCAUUCUUAACAAUAAACAGGCUUUUGAUGAAUGCAGACAUUUAUGGAAAAAAUAUGCCAGAAAAAUUUAUUUUCAAGUCAUUAUCUGAAAUAUUCCCAAGGCCCUCUCUGCUUCCUACAAAGCAAAGCUCUGAUUAAUUUCAUUGUUUUAAAAAUGAAAGUCUUAAAAAAAAAGUUUUCUAAUUUUCUUUUUUGGUUUCAUUCCAUAUGAUCACUUGAAUACUUUUAUUUAAAAAAUAAAUAACAUAAUAAAAAGAAUUGACUAUCAAAAAAGUAGCUAACGUUUUUCUCAUUCUCUAUGUGAUUGGUUCAGUGAUUGGGUACCUUAACUUACAAUUGAGUUAUGUUUUUAAUAAGUUUUCUUCUAUACAGUUCACUUGUCAGUUGGCUGUUUAGAAUAUGAAAACAUUUCAUAUAUACAUUGUUAAUGAUAGAGUUUCCAGCCAACCCAUAAGAGCCUCUAAAAGUAAUUCACUUCGUAAUUCACAUAUAGUUCUACUCAUCCAACCACAGAAACAAAUAACUUACCAGAAGAUGUUUCUUGGAGAAGAGGGUGAGAGCUGGAAUUCCAAGAAUUUGUCUUUGCCCUCUUUAGACAAGUGGAAAGACAGUGCCUCUGUGCAGUUUCUUUCUUUCUUUUUUUUUUUUAAAUUAUUUUUUAGUUGUAGUUGGACACAAUACCUUUAUUUUAUUUAUUUUUAUGUGGUGCUGAGGAUCAAACCCAGGGCUUAGCAUGUGCUAGGUGAAAGAGCUACUGCUGAGCCAUAACCCCAGCCCCACCUCUGUGCAGUUUCUAAACUGGGCUUCGAGUUUUUUAGCACUGAAGAAGGGGUUUCUAGAAAGCAGGAAGCAUGGCUCAAGAUGUCAGAGGAGUCAGGGAUUUGCAAAACCUGCUUUUGGCACUGGAGUUUCCAGCAAGGGUCAGGACCUAGAAGCCCUCCUUACUCCUAGACUAGCUCCUCACUCAUCUGUUUUCUAUUCUAGUGCUGACUUCAGAGAUAAUCUUAUUUCCUUCCCCCAAUCCCCCCCAAUUAAGGAUUACUAGGAGUGCUUUUCUCUGGCUAGAUGCUUAUAGCCUCAUAGCUGCUCCUCACUCUUCUCCAGCCCUGAAUCAAGCAAACAUCUCUCCUGGCUGGCAACCAGAAGGAAACAAAAAGACAAAGUCAAAACUGUGCACUUCUAUCCCUUCUCUUUUCUUCCCCCUGGUCCACUGAUAGUUCAUAAUUCCUAGGCACUCCCAACCUCUUGAGAAUUGAAUGAUGGCACAUAUUUUCCAUUCACCUCCAACUUUUUACCUAGAAUUAGCAUGUGGAGCACAGAUGAUGAAACCUACCCUGGAAGAAAAGCACAGAUGGUAUAUAUCAGUCUAUGUUGAAGAGGAUUUCUUGUUAUUUUGUUUCUGGAUUGUGGGUCAACAGAUUCUCAGGUGAAGAACUGGACAGGGUCCAAUGGCCUACCAAGCAGGAAGUUCAUGGCCCUGUCCAGCAAGGGUUUGGCCAGUCUCAAAGGGUUUCUUUCCUACUUUGUCCCCUCUCCUGCUUCCAGCUUUUCAUCUUAAACUCUUAAGAGAUGGUCCACCCUGGUCUUGCUUUUGAUCAGUAAUUUAUUUGCUAAUAUGUGUGUUAUGGAAGCACAGACAUGAUGGAGUUCUUUGAAUAAGUCUUGCUUUUGAUCAGUAAUGGGUGUGUGGCUACUCCCACUUGAUAUGCCCCAUUCAGGGACCAAGUAUAUCUGACUUAAUCUGUUUAAAAUUUCUUUACUAUCUCUUAAUGCUACAGAUUAUGAUUAAAAAUGUGCCUACUACAAUUGCCAUUUUGAAUCAGAUUUUGAAUCUGAUUCCUUACCCAAUAUUACAUGGAAAUUUUAAAUAAAAAUUUAUUUGCUAAUAUGUGUGUUAUGGAAGCACAGACAUGAUGGAGUUCUUUGAAGAAGUGUAUAUAAUUACCAUAAUAGAAAGUAUUUUGAUGAGAUCCUAAUUUAAAUAUAAAUAUUCCGAUAGAAAGCUAUUUACAUUUUUUGUUAACCCAUACUAAAUUCAAAGUCACUUUCCUUUAUCUUGAACAUUCCACUAUUCUUUAAAAAAAAUCAUGAAGGAAUUGUGUGUGUGUGUGCGUGCGUGCGUGCGUGCGUGCGUUUUACUAAUUUGCAAAAGAUGAGAAAAAGAUGUGUUUCUUACAUGGUAAUAGUUUCUCAGAUUUAAAUUUUUAAUACCAGAAAUCUUAAACAUUAAUUUUGAUUGCUUUUUAAAUUUAAGAAUAGAUUGCUUUUUAACAUACAGAUUGGGUGAUAGCUGUUCCUACUCCUCCGUCUCUGUCACAAAAUUCAAAUCCAUGUUUCAGGAGUACAGGAUGUUCCUUGGUGCACAUCCUCUGAGCCUUCAGAAUUUGAUUUGACUGUUCGGUCUGAGAUAGCUUGUUCAGAUAAGUGCUCUCUGAUAGUCAUCUGUGUGUCUGGGCCCUAAUGAACAUCUGCUUUCUAGGGCGCCACAACAGCACCUUUCUUUGUUUCCUCUUCCUUUGCUUCUUUGAUUUGAAUCUUGUUAAACCCUGGAAACAGGGUCAGUUUUGUUUGUUUUUCAGUAUGUAAAUCCUCCUAUCUCCCUUUUUUUUUGGGGGGGGGAAGAAGACAGAUAUUUUAAAUAUGAAUGAAUGCCCUGGGAAUUGAAAAGGAGACUGCAGAAAGCCACAGCUACAGUUCUCUUAACAACUCAGACAUAUUAUAUGGAAAUCUUCUAGUUGAGAUCAUAUAGAUGGAAUUACCAGGCCAAUUUAAUUAAAUUCAACACACACCUGCUGAGCAGGCAUUGUAUUAGGCCCUGGAACAUGCAAAUAUGUAAUUAAGACAUAGUUUAUACCACCAUGGAGCACAGUGGGAUUUUAGUUUUGUUUGAAGUUUGAAUUAAAAUCGAAUAUACAUGCAAUAUGAUGAAAAUUUCUAAAUAUAUAGUUUGAUAUACUCAUGUUAACAGUCAUCCAGGUGACAAUGUAACAUUUCCAGUACUCAGCAAGCACUUCCUUUGUACCCACCAAAGAUAACUAACUAAUUGACUUUGAUGUAUCUUUGUAGAUUGGUUUUGCUUAUUUUUGCACUUUAUAAAAAUGAAAUCAUAUUUUGUGUCUGGCUUCUUUAACUCAUCAUUAUUUUGGUUAGAUUCAUUGAUGAUAUUAUGCAUAUAGUUUUUUUUUUUAAUGCUAGGUAGUAUUCCAUCACAUAAUAUAACUUCAUUUAUUUGUCUGUUGUAUUAUUAAUGGUCAUUUGAAUUAUUUCAAAUUUUGGCUAUUAUAAAUAAAAUUCCUAUAAUUGUUUUUGUUCAUAUCAUGUGUUCAACAUAUACACUUACUCCUAAGAAUGGAAUUUGUGGGUUGUAGUAUAUAUGUAUUUUCAGCUUUGGUAGCUAUUACCAGUUUUAUACUCCUGCUAGCAAAGCAGAGAAAUCUGUUUUCAUCUCAGUCUUUUUAAUUUUAGCUCUUCUAGUUGGAGGUAUCUUAUGGUUUUAGUUUGUAUUUCCCUGAUGAUUAGUGAUGAGUACUUUUUUUUCCCCCCUUUUUCUCUAUGACAGAGACUUGCUGUGUUGACUAGCAGGCUUUGAACUCCUGGGCUCAAGCAACACUCCCACCCCAGUACUAGAAUUACAAGCACUAGCCACCAAGCCAGGCUUACCCUUUUUCAUAUGUUCUUUGGCCAAUUGGUAUACUCUUGUGAAGUCUAUUUCAAGUUCUUUGCUCACUUUUUAAAAAUAACAAUCUCAUACCACACAACUCAAUGUUUGGCUCACUUUUUAAAUUUUUUUUUUGUGUGUGUGUUUUUAAAUAUAUUCUGAAUGUUAUAUCCUUUAUCAGACAUAGAUAUGAGAUUAUCCCUCAAUUCUCAAUUCUCCCUUUCAUUGUAUGAUUGAAAUAUUUUUAAUAUAAUUUCUUCAUUUUAGUGCAGUCCAAUUUUUUGAUCUUUUAUGAUCACAAAUUUUUGUGUCUGUUAAGGAAAUCUUGGCUUACUUUAAGACCAUGAAAUAGUUUUCUACAUUUUGUAGUAGAAGCUGCAUUUUAUACUUCACAUUUAGGUUUGCAAUUCUUUUCUAAUUAUUUUUUUGUGUGUUUAGUGAGAAUAGGGUCAAUAUUUUUUCCCUGUGUGAAUAUCUAACCCAGCAGUAUUUAUCCAAAGAAGUUUCCCUGUUUGAAUUUCAGUGUCAACCUUGCUGUGAAUCAGGUGACCAUACUGGUGUGGUUCUUGGUCUGGAUUCUUGUUUUGUUUCAAGUUUAGUCUUUGCCAAUGCCACAUUGUCUCAAUCACUUUUGCAAUUCAGUAAGUGCAUAUUCUUUACAGUGGUCUUAACCAUUCUAGGUCUUUUGCAUUUCCUUAUAAAUUUUACUAUCAGCUUGUCAAUUUCCAUAAAAAGGAAUCUGCUAGGAUUUUUGUCAGAAUGAUAAAUCUUUGGGAGAUUAAUAUCUUAACACUGAUAUGUCUUCCAAACUAUAAGUGUGAUAUAUCUUUAAUUAUUUAUGAACUUAACACUUUUAAGUAAUUAAUAAUAAAUACAAGGGAAAGUUCCUAUUGUUUUAAAUGAAUCCAAUAAUUUCCUUAAGUUCUGUCGUAUGAUAAUUGACAUAGACUCAGAAGAAAACAAAUUCUUUUGAAGAGAGAGAAUAUUUAUUAUUAGAGAUCAAAAUUAAUUUUCAAAAGUAGCUUGCCACUGAAACUUACCCUUUAAGAACGGAUGACAUUCUUUUUGAUUUUUCUUGAAUGCAUCUCCAAAUAUAACUGUUUUUCCUUUUAUACUCUUUAUUCUCUCUUUGAGGCUUUGUUUAUUUGAUGUUGUUGUGACACUCUAUUGCCCUGUCUUAUAUACUUAUAAGCAUAAUAAUAAAUUGAACUAAAUUAGUUUUGCUUGGAGAAUUUUCUGACAUCCCUUAUGAUUUUUUAAUAUGCUUCUGAUAUUGUAAACACAGAGAUUGGGAAUUUCCACUUAGAUAUUAACUUCUAAGCAACAGAGCAAGCUGCUCUCUGGGUUUCAGUUCCUUCAAAACUUUUCUUAGAUGUUCCAAAAAUCUUAUACAUAAGUAUUUUUUUUCUCGUUUUAUAUUUAAAGUUUUAAGCUUUGAUUACUGCCAUAUUCAGCCAGCCAAAAACAACUGCAUAGUAGAACCUUCAAAGCUUAUUAGUUCUAGCAAGGCUGGCUUAGGUUGAGUAGGUAGUUGAAUUGACUUCUGAAGUUCCUUUCAACUCUACAUUUUAUGAUUCUGGGAAUUUAUAACAUCCAGGAAUCACAGUGUUAGAAUUGGAAGAAACUUUAAGAUCAUCUAGUCUGGGUACUCAUUUUACAGAUGAGGAAAGCUACCCAGAGCAAAGAGACAGAAGCAGAGCCCUUGAGUGGCAGAGAGAGAGGGAAAGUGGCUGGAGGGCCAGCUCUGCUGGGGCUAGGGCCUGCCCUCACCAGGACUGGUCAGUGCCACAGCCUGCAGAUAAAGAAAGAGGCACAUCACACAUGAACUUCAGCACCACCAGGAGAUACUGGUUGUGUGGGGUGUGUGGGGGGCCAGCGGUGUCAACAGGACUCAGUAGUGGUCACUCCAUCUGAGGUCAUCCUUCAGUGAGGGUGGGCCAGACUCCCACACUGCCUCCUCCACUAGCCUGGCUGCUUCUCCUGGCUCAUCAAAACCAGGUCCCCAGCUGCCUCUGCUUUAUCUCCAUGUUUCUAACCCUUGCAGAUUAGCCCCAUCACCCCUAGCGGGCAGAGAACCUGCUCAGCCUCCAUCGCUCCUGGCCUAUUCAUAGUCUUGUUCUGUUUCUAGAUUCUUCCUUUACCACAUUUAAAAAAAAAAUGUAUUUUUUUUUUGUAGUUGUAGAUGGACAGAAUGCCUUUAUUUUAUUUGUUUAUUUUUAUGUGGCGCUGAGGAUCGAACCCAGUGCCUCAUGCAUGCUAGGCAAGCACUCUACCACUGAGCCCCAGCCCCAGAGCCCCUUUACCACAUUUUUAAGGGACAUUGUUUUCAUGGCCCUGGAUCUGGGGCUAAAAUGCUCAACAUUUCAGCAAACCUGGAACUUUUCCACACUAGCCCAGUAGACUCCUGACUACUUCAUUCUUGGUAAACUUUGUGUAUCCUGCUAAUUAACCUGCUGUAACCUGUUAGGUUUUUGGUUGUUGUUGAACCACCCAAUAAGCCCCUGAUUAAACUCCUCUGCCUGUUGAAGUCAGCCGUCUUGUUUACUAUCUUGAUGGGAUCCACCUUGUUUCUAAGUUGGCUGCUACAUGCUUGUUUCUGGUGUUUUCCUGAGAUACUUGAACAUUGUUCCAGAUUGGCAGCCUUUGGCACUCAUCAUGCAAACAGACUUCAGGAGUUCUGUUGUGGCCAAUGGUGUGGAUAACUUUAGAAAGACAAAAUGCACAGUAGGUGGUCAAUAAGCCCAUUGUAAAUUUGAGCAUAGCUUUUUUCUGGUGCUGUUUGAAUCAUAUACUUAUUAAGCUCAUCCGCUGCAAUUGUCAUGACUGGCCGUGUGCCAUGCAUUAGGGAAAUCAAAUACAGAAGAAAUUGGGAUAUAUUAAGCAAAUAAGAGAGACUGAUUUUUCCACAAUUCACAAAAAAGAUUCACCAGUGAAAAUGCCUCCUUAGCUCAUUUCCACGUUUCAAAGAUUAUUACAGGUCACUAACUUGUUGACAGAAAGUAUAAUUUAAAGUUAAGCCAUCAGGAACCAUGGCUUAUUAAAGGUUAAUUAGAUAUUAAGAAAAAUGGUUUGUGGAAGAAUUUCUUAAGUUCGUUGGAAAGGGUGAGUUUAUUUUAUCAUAUUUGAAUUACACCCAACUCCUUAGGGUUGCGUGAUUGGGUAAAAGCAAGAUACAACAGUAACUAGCUUUGUUUGUUUUGGUUUUAUUUCUCAUUGUUUCAAGGGUCCUUUGUUCUGGUUGGUUCCAUCUUUUCUUUCUUCCUAGAGGGGUAUGUGACCCCAACUGGUGAACUCUGCAAAUUGUGGGAUACACAGAAAGAAUUGAUGGAAAGGACUGUUGGGCAGUGUAAAAUCAUGUUACCUGUAGUGAAACAAGUAAUGUGUGGACCAUUAUUGCUUGACAAGUGUGAUAGUUAGGAGGCUUCCAGAAAGGUGGUACCACAUGGAAAGACAUGGCUUGGUAGAGAGCACAGGGUGCCUUUUACAGAGCAGUUGACUGCUUGGGCUAGAAGGUUCUCUUGGUUGGGAUUUGGGGAAUCAUCUUAAACAACAUGUUGAGCCCAAACAUUUUUCUGUUAAUAAUAUUUAGGUGUAAAUAGGUUGUUUUGAAUCUCUCCUAAAACACAGCCAUAACCUUGUACUUGCAUUUCCUUUGCUUAUUUAAUUUUCAUCAGUGAAAGAGAGGCAUGCUGGACAUCUUAGGUACGUUAUUUGUCUAAGUUAAAAAUGUACAUAUUCAUUCAGAGAUUUAAAGUCUAGGAGGAAAGGGAAGAUUCAAAUAAGCAGAUAAAGAAUUAUUAUCCCUAGAAAUAUAGGACAUUUCCUUUCUAAUCCACGUUUAAUUCCUAAACUAAAAAUUUGGAUAACCUUCAUCUAACUUUCUCAAAAUAUUAUGAAGCGUUUGAGCACAACUUACUCCUGUUUUAAGAACAUGCAGGUACAUUGAGGAGGAUUUAUUCUUGCUCAUUCUUGGGCAGCCUGUAAAAUCUCAUUCUUAGGACAUUUUAAAAAUAGAGACAUUAGGGUUUACUAAUUUGAUUUUUCUUAUUAUAUUUUAACUUUCACUAAGUGGCAUUUCAUUUAGACUGUACUGCAUAAUACAUUUAUAUUUAAUGUUAUGGGGGAAAGGCUGAGGAAGUCGGAAAAUAGAAGGAAAGAAUAAACAUCAAAUGAGGUCACAUGUAUGACUUAGUAAGUGAUUAGCAUUUUGUUAAAAUUAAUUUGUGUACACAUCUUCCUGCACAAGAAUGUAAGAUUCCUAAAGAAAAGAACUAUAUUCAAUUUUGUGACUACUACAAUGCUUUGCACAUAGUAGGUACUUAAUAAAAUAGUUAUUGAAUCCAUCUUUUGUUUACUUAACAUGAUAGAGAUAGGAGGCAUAGGCUAGGUUUUUUAGAAUGAAACACUUCAGUUUCAAAUGCGUACAUGGUUACAAUAAAUGUGGGCUUUCAGUCUAAGUUAUCCAAUCAGUGUUCUCAAUCUUGAGUUUUUCUAGUAGACUUGAUCUUAGUGUUCUUGAAGUGAUCAACUACUAUUAAGCUAGUUUGUCACUGUCACAUAAGUACUUCAUAAGGAAUAAGAACAAAAUAUUCAGUUGUUAUAUUAAAUUAAAUAACAGUUGUCCCUUGACAUCCAAAGGGAUAGGUUCCAGGACACCCCCUCCUCUCUUCCACUGCAUACCAAAGUCUGCAGAUGCUCAAUCACUUAUUUAAAAGGUAUAGUAGCCAGGCACAGUGGUGUACGCAUGUAAUCCCAGCAGCUCGAGAGGCUGAGGCAGGAGGAUCACAAGUUCAAAGCCAGUCUCAGCAAAAGCGGGGCCCUAAGCAACUCAGUGAGACCCUGACUCUAAAUAAAAUACAAAAAGGGGCUGGGGAUGUGGCUCAGUGGUUAAGUUCUCCUGGGUUCAAUCCCCAGUAACCCCUCCCCCCAAACAGUAUAUUAUUUGCAUGGCAUGUGCAUUGCAUACAUCCUUCCAUAUACUUAAAAUUAUCUCUGAUUAUUUGCAAUACCUAACAUAAAUGAUAAAUAAGUAGUUGUUACACACAUUGAUUUAAAAUUUGCAUUAGUUUUAUGGUUGUAUUACUCUCCCGAGCCCCCCAAAUAUUUUCAAUCCAUGCCUGGUUGAAUUUGAGGCUGCAGAACCCUUAGAUAUAUAUAGUUGACAUAAUAUGUAUAGAAAUGCUGGCAUUAAAAUGAAAAUUUCUACUCUAUGAAUAUAAUUUUUCAAAUAACAUGUGAUGGCAUCUUAUUGAAAAGCAAUUAUACUUUAAGAAGAAAAGAAAAAGUUUCUAAAGUCUAUUCCUUAGGAUUAACUGUAGAUCUCCAAGGGGCUAGAACUGUGUCUAGCAGGAACAGUGAUUAUAUGGGUUUGGAUUACAGUAGAAAACAUGCGGCAUACACUAGGUAUUAAAGGAAAGCUUACUAAACAGAAAUAUCUACAUAUGUGUUGGCAAGACUUAGGGGAACCAAAAAGAGACAAUGACAUAUUCUUUAGCCAGCAAAGAAUGGGCAUCUUUACUAGGCAGAGCCUGAAGGAGCAGAGUGGAGACAGUUACCAGACCUGGAGGGGUGGCCCUGUAAGAAAGCUGCUGAAGGAGCAGUGACCUUCAGUCCAGGACCAAGACCAACCCAUGUUGACCAGACAUCCCUUUGUUUCCUCCCACCUCCAGAUCUGCCAGUGCCUCUGACUAGAACCAAUAGGAUGCUAGAGGGAGGAGCCUCUGGUGAUGCUGGCAUGUGGUCAGCCUCCCAGAGUACAGAGCCCUUUGGAGAACACAGAGAGGCAGGUGGAGGCUUGAGGAUCAGCAAAUUCUGUUGAAUAACUGGGUGGCUGCUUAUUGCUUUUCUUACUGGAUCGUUUUGUAUCUUUCAGUUAACAGUACUACUUAUUACCUUCUUAAAUAUCUCUUAUUAUUAUUCAAAUGAGUGAAAUAAACAAUAUUUGAUGAGUAUCUACUAUAUGCAAAGCAUUUGACAGGCCUGUUGCUAUCAAAAGUGGAUCAGUUCCUAAGAAAAUUAGCUGCUAUGAGAGUUGGACUUUGCUUUCCAUAAUAAAUACCUAAACCAGCCAAAUAAGCAUUGACAUUAAGUACUUUGAAGCGACAUUAUAAAGUAACCUGAAGCGCCUCAUUUCAAGUGAAUUUGGGAAACUUACUAUCUAAAGCAAUUCUAUAGUGCAGUUCUGUCCAGAAGAACUUACUGUGAUAUUGAAAAAUGUUCUAUCUGAUGCAGUCCUACUGGCUCCAUGGGUCUAUUAAGCCUUUGAAAUUUGGCUAAUGUGACUGAGAGACUGAAUUUUAAAUUAUUAGCCACUUGUGACUAAUGGCUCUUGUAUUGGACACUGCAGCUACUGUAAACUUAAGUAGGUCUAAUUUCGAUGACUUGAUAUUUUUGUUAAUCCAUUUUGGAAUCAAUUGGAUCUUACAGUUUCAAAUUUUUGGAUUGGUGACCUCCAUUUAUAGGAACCCUGCAAAUACUGGUGACCAGCAUGGUGAAGUGACUAAGGUGAGGAAAUGAAGGUUUUGGCUAAUGAAGGCAAAGCAAAAAUACAGGAACCCGGGCUGGGGAUGUGGCUCAAGCGGUAGCGCGCUCGCCUGGCAUGCGUGCGGCCCGGGUUCGAUCCUCAGCACCACAUACAGACAAAGAUGUGUCUGCCAAAUAUUAAAAAUAAAUAUUAAAAUUUAAAAAAAAAAAAAAAAAAAAAUACAGGAACCCUUUUUACUGGUAGGGUACAUGUUUUACAAAGUUAGGUUAUAUUUAUUUAGGCUGAAUUAUAGUUGAGUAGAUUGCGGUGUGCAGGUUUAUCAGCAUUAACAAGGCUACUUCAAUUAAAAAAAACAAUAAACUUUAAUUUUUUAACUUUAAUUUAAAUCUAUAAACAUACAUUUCUAUGAUAUAAUUAUUCUGGAUAUUUGAUCUUUACUAUUCUAGUCGAUUCCAACUGUAGGUGAUCGGUUAUAAAGAAUGAAGAUAAGAAAAUUACUAUGUGCAUGAGAAGAAAAUAGGAUAUGAUUACAUAUUAAAGAUGUGUUCACCUUCUCUUCAAGAUUUUUACUUUCUGCAGCUUUGCUUCUUUUUAUGUUUGCUUUCUUGGAUUUACUGAUGUGUACAUGUGUAUAUAUAUUUUGUAUAUAUAUGUCAGCUGACAUAUACAUAUGAUAUGUCUUUGAAUCUGAGAAUUCUCUUUGACCUUUUAAUGAAACUUUUUCACUUGUUAUCAGAAAUCUGCAUUAUCCUAAGUCUAGAAAGAAUCUAAAAAAAUUACUUGAAGCUUAUUCAAUAAAGAGCGACAUUUAUCAUAUCAUAAAUAUGACAAAACUAUCAGCAGUACAACUGAAAACACUUCGCAAGGCAUUGAGUUCCUGGAUAUUUGUCUCCUGAUUCAGUCCUAUUUCUACUCAAGCCUAUGAUUUGACUACCUUUUCCAAAUUUUGCUUUAUUUGACCCAUUUUUAAUCUGUCUUCAACCGCUGAGAGUUUGACUUUUAAAAGGAUUAGGUUCUAGGUUUCAUUAUGAAAAAUUUUAAAAUUGGCUCUUGCUGUACGCAAGAGUGUUUUUGUUUUACGUAUUAUAAUAAGAUGAUGUAAAGUUUACAUUUGUACCAUUUUUACAUAUAUAAUUCCACUGUUGUACAACUGUCAUCAUUACAGAAUAUUCCUUAAUCCUUAAUAUGAGGUGAUGUUUCUAGUUUCAGAGAGAUAUUUUUUGUCCUCUAGAUAGAACAACAACAAAAUUCCCUGAAUUCACACUCAUAUCAGUCAAUAAACAUCUGCUAAAAUCCUAUCAAAUGACAUGUUUAAAUGGUAUUCAGCUAGUAAAGCCAUUGUAAGCUUGUUCAUCAACUCACACAAAAAGAACUUGUUGAAAACAACUUUUAGGAUGAAAAUGUCACUUUAAACGGGAAGAUGCUAUUACUUUAGUUUUUUCAUUUCUCUUGAAGAAACCCAGCUAGCACUAACAGACCAGUGACAUGCUAUGCCGAAGGAAGACUGUGGUUGCAAUGUGUGGGACAUGCCAUACUGUGAUUCACCUUCUUUGAAUGUAUUUUUUCAAGUUUGCAUAAUAAUAUCCAGAUUUAAGUUUAUUUUCUUUUGUUCAUUUAAUUGAGUUCUUGAGAAGAUAAUAAUGCAACAAUGAAAAUUUUACUUUACUUUAUGUGUGAUAAAACAUAUAAUUAACUUACAGUGUUUUAUGAAAAUAUAAAAGAUAAAACCACCUUUCUUCCACAACAUGGGCUCAUCUUACCUGUUGUCAUGGCAACCAGGUAAACACCAAUAUAACCAAAUGGGUGGCAAAGAAAAAUUGUUUUCUCACAUAAAUUAUGUUGAACAUUCUUCCUAGGACCUUUAAAAAUAGGUUAUCUGAGUCCAGGGAGAAAGGCUCAAGUGAUGGAAGAGAAAUAGUCAAACUUUAUUUGAAUAUAGAGAGAGAGUUGAGGGGGUGGAAAUCUGUGUUGCUGAGAAAAAGAGUUUUCAGAGCAGACUGUUCUGGUAUUUUAUACCAAUUAUGUGCAGCCAUUGCUUUGAAUAAUUUUGCUGCCCUGCUGAGAUUUCCUUUUUACAAAUCCUGGAGCAAUUAUAAGAUGGAAGUCUGGAAUGUAUAAACAAUGUCCUUUGAACAGUAAAUGAGCCUCAAUUCUUAUGAAACUCAAGGGUAGGAAUGUACUACCUUUUAUCCUGUGGUUCUCUGCCUUUCCUUCCUCCUUAAUCAAAGCACAGAAACUAGUAUCUACUUCGAGAGUGCAGAGAAACAUGAAUUUUUACCUAAAAAUACUUUUCAAUAAUAAAUUCCCUCAAAUUAACAAAAUUUCUCUGUUGCUUUAACAUAAUAACCAGUGUACUUAAUACCUAUUCAGUACAGGUACUGAUUAUAUAUACCUGUUGUUCUAUUUCUAACCUUAACACAAGACUGCAAUAAAUUACCUUUUUCUAUAGCCCUAAAGCAGAGCACUGCUCCAAGAGUGUGCUUGGAGGAAAGAAGGGCACCCUUAAAACACAGCAUUAGACUGAGUUUCCAAAUGCCAGCUCGAUCUGUGUGACAAAGCAACCUGCACUAAUCACGACAAAUAAUAUAUAAAAUCCCAAGAGAAGUCAGCUGUCACUUGGAGUUAACUGUAAAAAGCCUGAACUCUGUUAUUUUGCUGAACUUACAGACCUUGUACAAUGUUUACAAUAAGGUUUGGAGAAUUGCCUAGCAUUGGAAUAUAUACAAUUAAACAACAUAGUUGAACAGCCUUUUAUGUUAGCACUGCCAAAAGACCGCCAUUAUACUCACAUGAUAGUCAUUCUUGGAACUCUUAACAUAAACAGGAAUAGAGAACAUUCAUUUGUAAUUCUAUCUAAGUGUGUGCAGGAUUUUAUUUUCCUUUACUCACAUAAACCCUCAUGGAAACCAAAGAUAGCAAUAAUAAAGGGACCAUUGAAUGAGAAUUAUUUCUUUGACUGUCAAACAUAUAAUACUUUUAUUUUGUUUGCAAUUGAGUCUAAGCAUUCAGCUCUUUAGAAUUUUAUUUAAGCUUGUAUAAACAAGGGAGAUUUAUUUAAAUUAAUUAUAAAAUGAAUUUUAUUUGUUUCAAAAUAUCUAAAAAUCGAAUACAAAGUGCACAACAUUGUUCCUUUAUUCAGGUAUUUUUUUUAAAUAGUACAUGCAAAAAGAUAAAAGGAUAUUACAGAUUAAAAUGAAACAAAACACAGGCUAAAUUUUAAGCCCACAGCAUGUUUAGUUGAUGAGACCAACGUAAUACUUUCAGCUAGACUAGAAGGGUUGAUUCUUCAGCAUUGAAGGAAACAGUAAGAAAGGACGAUAUACAACUGAAGCAGUUUUUUGGAGGAGAGUGGAAAUAUUUAAGAGAUUGAUUUAUAGUUCUGUCAUUCAGAAAUAUAAAUAUAUAUAUUUUUAAUAUACGUACUGGGUUUUCCCUAAAGUAUUUUUCCUGUCAGUUUCUCAGGGAUGUUUGGCUUUCUAAUUCUGAAAAAUAGUUUAUAUUGACACCAAAAUAAAGCAUGGCUAUGUUGUUUGACACAAAAAGGCAUAACUCAGUCUCGGGUAGAAGAUUUGAGCUUAAUUUAGGUCUCCAGAACCAGCAGUUCUAGCUGUUUUUGCCUCCAAUUUCUAGUCUAUUAUCUGAAAUUAAGGAAUUUGUUAAAGCAUGUUAAUAGAGAAGUUUGAGAUGCAAGGUGCAAAGUUUACCUGUUACUAUGAGGGAAAAAUAAAACUGUCAACUAGCUAUAUGGAAAAUUUGUAGCAUAUUUGAAUGAGUAACAGAGCACCUCAAAAUGUUAAAAAGUCAUCUGAAAUGUAAUUUUUCAAUACAAAAUGAAAUAUUUGCCUCCCUCCAACCCUGGCCUGAAGGUUGUAGUUUACAACCCUCAGUAUAGACAGCCUCUGUUCUUUACUUCUUCUUAUCGUGUAAAUCCUUUUCCACGCAACUCUAAAUCCCUCAUGGCUACCACUUAUCCUCAGAAUAUGUGAAAUCUUAGAUUGAGGUAGACCAAAGGAUUCCCCAAACAUGGCUUUGUCUCUACUUUUGGACAAGAUAGAGAAGCGUUUAAGAAUACUAAUUGUCUGUAAGAGAUCAACUAGUUGUUCCAAAUAUCCCUUAAACUAACAAGGGAUCAAUUAUCUGUAUGAUUAGGCCAUUCUUGGACUGAUUUGUAUGUUUAGGACAUGGAAAAUAAUGUAUGCACAUUUGUGAAUUACUAGUAUCUUCUUUUUAUUUCCCAAAGAAAAUGAAUAUUUCAAACAUCUCCCUUUAUUUCUAAUAUUUCCAUUAUUUGAGGGAUAAGUUCAAUUAUAAUUUUUACAAACUUUUAAGUUAGUAUUUUUUUAGAUUAAAGAAUCUUAAUGGCUAAAUUUAUACUUGUGUAGAAAUCUCUGUACUCGGAGUCACUUUCGUUGUUCUCCACUUUGUUGUUUCCAAAAGGCGAUAAUUACAACAUCCUUGAGUGACCAGUUUGGAUGCAUUUGAAUUUUGUACAUGGUAGCAUUAUGAUUUAAAUUUUUCUUCCAGUAAGUAGUUUUUCCUCUUAUGCCCAAUGUUGUUGCUCUUUCGAGUGACAGUUUAGGUUGGGCUGCCAACUUUCAAGAACAGCCCGGAAUGACCCUCCACCGAGAAUCCAGUUGUAAGGAUAGUUUAGUGGGUGUGUUAGCCUUACUCUUAAGGGUACUGAAGAUCAUCUGUGACUGUUUGACCUACUUUCCCACAGCUCAUUUCCAUCCAUAUCACACUCCAUACGCCAGUGUGAUAAAAGGAUAGUGUUCUAGGCAGAUGUGGAGAUUUCAGUGGGGACUGCUUCUUCCCAAUGUUGUACUGUCAAAUUAAGUAGAGAUGGAUCUGAGAGAAGUCUUCCUUGCAACUGAAUCCAAGAAUCAUAUCAUGACUCUUAAAUUGGUUUCUUGUUGAAUUUCCUUGCAGAAUAAGGCUCGUUUCACAGUAAUUCUUAACUGGGAAUAUGGAGAACUUAGAUCAGAAGCAGCGUGUUCACUGUGAGAGAGACCGCCGAACCAUGUGACAGAGGAAGUAGAGUGUUGUUAACAGACAUAAACAAUCAAAGUGAGGGCCAUAGAUGGUAUCAGGACAGAUGCCCACAAAAAAACUGGACCUCACUUCUGUCCAUAGCAGAGCAAAAAAGCUCUAUGGGUGCAGCAACAUUUAUGAGUGUUGAAAGAUAAUAGUCUUGGUGAGUGGUGUUGGUCUGGGGCUGGGGGGCAGGAGCAGAUGAGGCACAGUGUGUGUCUUAGUAUGCUCAGCUGUCAUAGCAAUAUGUAUUUAUGGACUAAAAACAAAUCUAUUUUCUCACAAUUCUGGAGGCUGGAAGUCUGAGACCAUAGUGUUGGUAGAGGUGUCUCUUUGGCUUGCUGAUGGUGACUUCUUGCUAUGUACUCUGAGCACCUACAUGUUCCUGGUGUCUUCUUCUUCUUACAAGGAUAUCAGUUCUGCUGGAUCAGAGCCCCAUUUUUGGGACUUCAUUCAGCCUUAAUUACCCCCAUAAAAACCUUAUCUCCAAAUACAUUGAGGGUUAAGGGCUUCAACAUAUGAAUUUUGGGAGGGACACAGUUCAAUCUGUAACAGUGUGUUUGGGGUGAAAAACAGGAGCAGCAUAGAUGCAAGUCGGACAUCUCUGUAGGAAGACCCUACAAGCAAAAAGUUUCUAUUACAUCCUUUGAGCAACAGGGAACUAUUAAAGGUUUUAAGCUGAGGAAUGACAAUCUUUCAGGGAGAUUAACCAGCAGAUGCAUGAAGAAUGGGUUGGGGGAAAAAGAACUCUAAGUGUAAUAAGACUUUCAUUGUCUUUUUAGGAAGGUUCUGUGGGUAUCUUGUCAAAGAUUUCUUGAAAACCCUGAGGUACUAUCUAUAUUCUUCUUAAUAAAAUUAGCAUUAAAUUUCACUAUAGGACAGAAAAAAUAUUUAAGCACAAAAUAAAAUGUGCUUGUGAGGGCAUUUUAGUCUGUUUUCUAUUGCUGUAACAGAAUACCUGAGAAUGGGUAUAAAGAAUAGAAAUUUAUUUUGGCUCACAGUUGUAGUGGCUGGCAAAACCAAGAGCAUGGCACCGAUAUCUGCUUGACUUCUGGUGAGAGCUUAGUGCUGCUUCAAUUCAUGGCAGACAGCAGAAGGGCAAUAGAUGGAUGUAAAAAAGAAAAGAUGGGCUGAACAUUUAUACAGUAGCUAACCCAUUUUUAAGAGAAAGGGUUAACCCAUUCAUCAGAGUUCUGCACCUAUGACCCAGACACCUCCCACAAGGCCCCACAUCCCAAUACUGCAGCAUUCGUGACUAAGCCUCACUUGCGUUUUGGUGAGGACAAACCAUAUUCAGACCAUUCAGAUGGGCACAAAGACACCUAAUCAAAAUAAUUGGACGUUUUUUAUUCCUUAAGUUUGGAAUUCAAUUUUAUAAGACUAACUACUCUGUAAAUCGAUCCUUUACAGCUGUAGGAAUUUCCUGGCAGGUAUAGACUAUGAUAAGAAUUCAUUGUAAUAAGGGACAUUGUUACUAACAACAGCAAUGAUAGUAAUUGAUAGUAAUGAUAUUGAUUAUAAUUAAUAUUUACCAAAUAUUUUUAUGGAACUGGCACUGUUCCAAGGAAUUUAUAUGUAUGCAAAAUAAUAUUGUUAAAAUAUAAUAUAUAGUUAAGUAUGAAUAUAUUUCAUACUAGAGUAAAUAGUAGGAGAAAAGGAUGAGAGCAACAAAUUGACAGGGUUGAUAAAUAGGAUAAAUUUAAUCUAUAAAUAUUGCCCUUUUUCAUAUAAUUCAAAUAAUACAUAUGUGCUAUGCACUGUGGGAAAUGAACAACAUUACUAUUUUAUACUGACAAUUGAAAAUUGUGAAUUAACAUAUGCCAGAAACUAAAAAUAAAUUGGGUUUAUAGAAUAAUAUUUGGGGAGUGUGAUGUGGAGCUAUUCCAAGCAGAACACCAGCUUGAAUUGGUUUUUUUUUUUUUUUUUUUUCACAUCUAUACCCGCACAACAGCCUCAUGGAUUUAAGAAUAUGUCUACAAUUUUACCGUCUUGGCUCUGGAGAACCACACUCAGUGAAAAUCUUAGUUAUCAACAUUCACUUCAAAUGCUGUCAUUACAGGCCAGGCAUCUUUUAUUAGAAAUCCUCUUUUAUCACUCAUCCUUUCAUAAAUUUGCAACCCUCCCUUUCCCCAGUUUUCCAAGUUUUAUUUAUUCAGAGUUCAGCUUUUCAUUUUCCUUUUUUGGAAUCAGUUAAUCACUUGCAGAGUUACCUUCUGGAACGUGUACAUUCUAUACUUUCAUAGAUUAAUUUCUGAGUUGAUAUGUUUGUGGGAGAGUUGCUCAUAGGGAUACCAAUAAAGUUGUCAGAAAAAAACAGAAGGUUCUGAUUGAAAUGCUGAGAUUAAUGACACCUUGGAGAAAAAGGAUCCCUAGAAACCUCUGCAUAGUGAGUGAUUCUGGCAAAGUCUUGUCCAAUCUGAAGAAAUUGGACCCCCCUUGAGAAACAAGUUUGCAAAGUGGCCAGAAGCUUUCGAGGCUCUGAAUUGCUUUUCAGGGCAUCAGUGUGCGUGUGUGGGCAGAAUUUAUGGAUGCCUGGAGUUAGGGUUGUGAUGGCCCCAGUGACCAACGAGGUGAGAGAUAGCCCAGGGAAGAAACUCAGGGUCCUGUCUCUAUGGCAUAUAGAGAGGAUGCUCGUUUUGGAUAAGGUGAAAGUGAGAGUGCAUUUGGAAAAGAGACUACAUAUGCCAUGGAGAGUGAGCUAAUGUGUCAACAUGAGCCAGACUAUGUGGAACUUGAGAGUCUACCUAUGAUAUAUCUAAUUUGCAUGUAGCUUUCCCCCUGGAGAUUCUCUCAGUAUAUGUUUAUAAACAGUUAGAAGUCAAUUAUUUUGUAUAUUCCAAAUGACUUUCUGAAAUGAACAUGUGGUGCUGAAGGGCCCAAGCUGGGGAUGAGCGUAUUGUGAGAAAAGUACAAAAGCAUGAAUCCAGCUCAUUCUGUCCUUGAAGGAGAAACCCAUAUUCCUUCACAUGAUGGCAACAAAAUAUUUCCCAUGAACUCGUAUUAGAGACUUUGCAUUUAAGGGUUCUGUGGGGUUGGCAUCUGUGUAUGUAACAACCCUAACUUAAGUAAAUACUAACUCUGUAAUGGCAAGGGUUGAGCUAAGGCUAAGCAAUUAUUUUUUCAGUGAGGUAUUAUUAAGCUUGACCUGAUAAUUUUUAUCAGGCAAGAGUUCAUAUUUCUCUUAAUCAAGAAUAAGAUGGUUACUUUUUAAAAUUCAAUUUUUAAAAUUGAAUUAAUGGACAAAAAACUGCUUUAAUGAUGCUUUACACUAUAGGUUAAAAAAGAAAGCUUUGAGAAUGAAAUUCCCUUGAAUUUAUUUUUCUAUCUCAAAUAAAAAUUAGUCAUAUGUACUUAACCUAUAUAUUUUAAUCAAAUGAUGAAAAUUAUACAUCCUAUAUGCUAUAGGUAAUAGUGUUAUUUUAAAUAAGAGGUGAUCAAAAAUAAUCAUAAAGGUAAUCAAAAUAAUAAUAAUGAUGUUUUUGUUGAAAUCACAGGAAUAAAAGUCACAUAGAAGCAUGGAUCCAUGUUCCCAGUGUGAUUAUAAGCCACAUGUAGUCAGGGCACAUGCCUUCAUUUACUACGAAACCCGUUAUGCACAUAGUGGAUAACUCUUAAUAUGCAUAAGUGGCCCCAAACCAUGUGUAAUCCCACCUUAUUCUUUCUAGAAAACAAAUCUGUGUUUCCUUAAUGAUAAUGGACACAAGUCCCCAUGUACUUUUAUCAAUUCUGAAUCCAGGUGCACCUGACAGUGGAUGGAAUGUUUGAGGGGAUCAUCAGCCUAGAUCAAAGUUAAGCUCUUCCCGAGAGGAUUUGUGUUUGCUUGGGAUAGCCAUCUGGGGACACUACCCAUCUGUGACCACUUACAGUUAAAUUCUGUGCUUGAGGUUUUUUUGUACCACACUGGUUGUGUGGAUGUAGUACCAGCUGGUAGUUCAGAUUUUUAGAGGAGAUUUUUCUUUUUUUUUUUUGUUUUUUUCUUCAGCUAGUCACAAGCUUGAGACAUUGUUACCCUGCUGUCUAUUUCAGUGUGGUGAGUUUGUUUCUCAUUUGGAAUUCCCAGAAAAUCAGUUCUCUAUAGUGAUUUUUUAUUACAGUCCUCAUUUUGAAGCAUUUUUUUAUUUACUAUAUUAAAUAGAGUACAAUUGUUGAUGGCAUUUUAGAUUUGAUGAAAUAUGGUACUUUUAUGGGUGACCAUUAUCCAUUCAAUUCAUGGGGCAUUUGAAAACCUAGACAGGUUCUGCUUGAUUGGCUACUAGCAGGACCAGAAAAACAUAAGUUUGUAUGUGAGAUGGUUUUGGUGAUCUCACAAAUCUGAAGUUCUAAGGAAGUCUGGUGACAGUGUCUUCUCAGUAUCAUUUCUGCUAAAUUUAUUUGGGGUUUGGGAAACAAAGUCCACUGUAGUUCCUUUCAUUACUGUUCCCUGCUGUGUCUAUGAUUAACUAUGAGAUGGCCCUCAAGUGAUAAGAUCAGGAGGCUGAGUGGUGUCUGGAUUCUUCUCAUUGGCUCUCAUUCAAAUGCUCUUUCUUUUCUUUUAAUAGCAGUGUUUCCACUUUGCACACUUAAAGGUCAUCUGUGCUGCAUCCCUUUUGCAUUCCUCCUAGCAAUUAGUCCUUGCCCAUUUUUUUGAUGGCCCAUGUGGACUGGAAUGUCAUCCCCUGUGUAGUCUUCACUGGUUAACUUCCUAUACAUUUCUCUCCUCUAGAGUGCUGCCAACACUUCUUCAAACUCCGUCCCUGGAUGAUGCCCAUCAUCUUUGGGAAAAGAGAUGGGAGGAAGAGAAUUAACAUUUAUUUAUUAUCUGUUCUUUACCAGGCACCUCAGGAAAUUAUUUUAUUUAAUCCUUUCAAUGACCUGUGGCAGAUAAUUAUUGCUGUUCUGUUUUACACGAGAGGAGACUGAAGUCCACAGAGGUGAAGCACCUGUCCAGAGUCAUGGCAGGUGAGGAGUUGAGCCAGAGUUUGACACUUCUGUCCAACUUCAGAGUCAAACCAUUUUCAUCCUACCUCACUGCUUCCCUGGAGGCAGAGAUUCACCUAGGGUUUUUGUUGUUGUUGUUGUUGUUGUUUGUUUGUUUGGUUUGGUUUUAACUUCUUCUGGUUCAUUUAAGUGAUUUAGUCACAAUAAAAAUUCAAAACACAUAAAGAAGUAAAAUAAAAGCAGAUGCUGCAUCUAGCAACAUUGUAGGUGCAGGCCCUGGAGCUGAAAUUUGGAGUUGAAUUAAGUGUGUGUGUGUGUGUGUUGAAUACAGAUUGGCUUUUGGUCACUGUGUUAAAAUUUGAUAAAUGAGUACUUAAGCUAAAAACGAAAGCUGACAUCUUCCAUGUUCCAAUUCUCAAAUUUAAAAAUAUUAAAAUUAGCCUGACCUUUGCUUUUGUGUCUUAUUUUCACCUGGAUGUCUAAUUUAGAGUUGUUUUUGUUGUUGUUGUUUUCUCUUUAACUAGGGUUUGGCAAGACAACACUUGAAAGCAAAUGAUACUUUACAUCUAUCUAGUUAUAUUCUGAGGAAUCUUUAGAAUGUAGCACUACAAUAUAACUGACUGAAUUCUUUUUAACAUCACAAAAGAAAAAUUACUUUAGAAGAUUUGCUUUUAGAUAGGUAUGAUUGACAAACAACAUAACACAUUGGUAUGGCAAUAAAUUAUAAUAAAAGUAUAUAAUAAAACAACUUUGCAUGUAUACCAUAUGAUAGUAAUACCUAAAAAUACUUAGAGCUAACAAAUACUUUUCUGAUAAGUGUUAGAAUUAUCAAGACAGGGAGGCUUGUUGGAGCUAGACGAUAUUCAUAAUUACUAGGUAAAGAUUGAAAGCCUAGGGCUGGAGUUGUAGUGCAGUGGUAGAACACUUGUCUAGCAUGUGUGAGGCUACUGGGUUGAUUCUCAGCACACCAUGUAAAUAAAUAAAACAAAGGUCCAUUGACAACUAAAAAAGAAAAAAGAAAGAAAGAAAAAAAGAUUGGAAUCCUCAUUUGUGUGUGUGUGUUGAGAGGUGAUGUGGCAUGUGGUGCAGGGGAUUGAACCCAGGGUCUCUCACAUGCUAAAGAAGUGUGCACUACCACUAAGUUAUAUCCCCAGCCAUUUUUAUUUUUUAUUUUGACAUGAGGUCUCACUAAGUUGCUGAGGCUGGCCUCAAACUUGUGACCCUCCUGCCUCAGCCUCCUGAGUAGCUGGGAUUACAGAUAGGAAACACUGCACGCAGCUAAGAUUAGAAUUCUAGAAGUGUAAACAGUUUGUUUGUAUGUGGUGGCAGGGGGAGGGUUGGGGAGAGGGAUGGGGAAAAGAAUGAGACAGAGUCAGAGAAAGAGGUGUGUGGUAUAUAACUCUCUCAAGACCUGAUUAGUUUAGCUGCCCUUUUGUAACCUCUUUUUUGAUGAGACCUAAGUUUAGACUUGUAUGUUCUGAAUCAGUUUAGUAAUCUGAUGGUCUCUACCAAGACUUUGACAAUUGAUGAAACACUCAAGAGAAGGUGCUUGGGGAAGAGAGAAUUUUCUCCCAGCCCCCAGUCUUGAUCCUUGACUCCUAAAUUUGCUUUAAUGAUUCUACAAUGGAAUUCUUGACUCCAAACACUGGUUCUGAUCUGAUUUUUCCUUACACUUAGACCUAGUUCUUCUUUGAAAGGAGUACUUGAGGUAGCCUGCCUGCAGGCCUGAGGACUGACAUGAUGACCCAAAAAAGUGACACGUCUCUCAUCUUUAUCAAACAAAAGAAUUGAAUGAGAAAUGAAGGGUUGAGCUGGGCACGGUGGCUCAUGCUUGUAAUCCCAGCACCUCAGGAGGCUGAGGCAGGAGAAUCGGGAGUUCAAAGCCAGCCUCAGCAAAAGCAAGGUGCUAAGGAACUCAGUGAGACCCUGUUUCUAAAUAAAAUACAAAAAAGGGUUGGGGAUGUGGCUCAGUGGUCUAGUGCCCCUGAGUUCAAUCCCCAGUAUCAAAAAAAAAAAAAAAUAGAAAUGUAGGGUUGAGUUGGACAGAAGCAAUAAUGUUGAGGCCUUCUUUUUCUCCCUUUAGUAUUGUUGGUGAUGUAUAUUAGUUGUUAAAAGACUACACAUGGCUACCUUAAAGAAAAAUAAGAUGUGCAAGCUGUUUAGUCUUGAAUUUUUGGAGAAUUGAGUCAUAAGGUGUUAAAAGUGCUGCUGUAGUACCUAUGCCAAAUUCAAGUUUCAUCAUAUCACAUACUGUUGUCAUUAGUAGUGGCAGGUUGGCCAAUUAAUGUGUGUUUUUGGAAAACCUUCAAAGAAGAAAAAGAUCAGCUUAUUUGACUUUUUGUCAUUAUGAUUAUCUGUUUGAUAAUAACUCACUUGGAAUAUCUUCAAAAGUCAUUUGCUUAGGCGCCCUUUUAAAAACUCUUGGCAAGAAGAUAGUUAAAGAUAAACAUUGACAAUUAUAUUUUUGGAACUACAGUAGCAUGUUGGUGUGUAAAGAAACAUGUUGCAUUUACUCUUGGACAAUUUCAAACCUAACGGAAAUCCUUCCUUACUGUGUUCACAAACCUACAUUGGGGAAUAUGACAGGAUUCCUAAAUAGGAAUUAGUCCAUUUUUUGUGGGCUUGCAAGGGCAAGUAUAUUUUCUUGCUCCUCAUAUCCCAGAAUUAAUGACAUACUCAAUAAAUAUUUGUUGAAUGCAUGAGUAAAUGGGCAAUUGAAUACAUUUAAGAAAAUGUAUGACUUAUAAAGUUUUCAAAGCUACCCUUUUAAAAGAAAAUCCAGAAAGCAGUAGAGGAUAAUAUGAAAUACCUAUUUGUCCACCUGAAAGUAUUAACAGAUUAAAGCAUUGGCCUUACAUGAUGUACCUUCUUUUUUCUUUUUUAUAAAGGAAAUAAAAGAUUGUCUUUGCUCCUUCCUCAGAGAUAUUUCUCGUUAUAAAUUUUGAAUCUGUUCUUCAUAUGCACCCUUUUCUUGAAUUUUCGUGAAUCAAUCAAAUAAUAUAUAGCACCGUAUUUUAUGUUUUUAAGUUUACAUUUACAUCAUACUCUGUGCCCUGCAAUUUUGCUCUUUUAACACUGAUUUUGAGAAAUAUCCCUGUUGAUUACAUGUGUAUCUAUUGUGUUCAUUUUAUUGCUUAGUAGUUUUCUGUUUUUUAAGUAUGCCAUAAUUUGUUUACCUGUUGGCUUUUUGGUGCGUAUGUAGAUACAGGUUUUCCAUGGUUGAGGAAUUAUAGCAGUGGAUAUUCCUGACUCUUGUGCACAUGUGUGGGAGCUUCUCCAAGUCACAUCAGCAAGAGGAGUGGAGGGUGGUGAUGUGGCAGGGCUUUCUAACAGGGCUGUCUUAAUCAUUACUUUAUUCUUCCACUAGCAUACUGUAAAGUACCUUGACUCCAUGUGCUUUCGGCAAGUUUCAGUAUUUAGUUUGUAAAACAGCUAGUGGGCUUUUUUUCCCCCUUAAGUUCGUGGUGAGUGGCUUAAGUACCAUUUAAUUUCUCAAAAUUCAAAUUCCUUUUCCUAACCUUAGAAAAAGACAGACAGAACAAUAAAGCACUUAUGAAUGGGAAAAAAAAAAAGAGAGAGAGAGAGAGAGAACAGCCAUGAAAUAAAGCAGGAGACAUUGAGUUAAAAACACCUUUGUUGCCUUCCAUUGAGGUUGCUCUUGAACUCAUUGAGGGGCAUCUCAUUGUGAAGGGGAUGCUGGAUAAACCUCCCAGGAAGCACUCUACCUGAAAUGACUACGCAAUAAUCGUUUUUUCAACCCUAAAUGUUUAGUCUUAUAUUUGCCCAAACAAUGUUUUUUUGAGAGGUACAUUAUACAAUCAAAAUAAGUAUCUAUUGAAAUGUUCUGGAUUAAAUAGCUUAAGAAGUGAAUUAGAAUCAGCUUCUGAAGUUUUGGGAUUAAGCCCCUGAUCACUCUGAACAUCAUUAUGGACCUCAUUUUUCCUAGAACAGAUAUUAUUUCUUUUAUAGGAACUAAUUUUAGCAGAAAUGAAAUCCCGGUUUUGUCAAAAGAAAAAGGAAAAGCAUUAUGACUAAUUUUAUGGAUGAAUUUUUUUCUUGUUUCUCCUAACAGUGGGUUCUAUUUUCUUCUCAGUUCUGCAGGAAAAAGCCCGUUUCUUGCCAUGCUUUUCCUUUAACAUAGAAUUAGCAAGUGCGACAUUGCCUUUUAAAUCUCAAGUGUCUUUCAUCCAUCUUGGAACUGAAGUACCCAUAUAAAUCUAGAAAUGACCAUGACUAAUAGGAUGUUCCUUAUCUUUUGUCCAAAGAUAAGGGCAAAAAAAAUAUUCCUCUGGAUAAAUAUUUUUAUUGUUGAGAGUAUUAUUUCUACUUACCCAGUACAGGAAUCUCAAAAAUCACCUAGUAUUAAAGUCUUCUCUCUGAGUACCACUUACUGCCUGUGUCAUCAAAAUAUCACCUUUCCUCUUUCUAUACCUGCUUUUUUUCCUGCCCUCUACUGACCCAUAGUAUGUUAAAUUAUAAACCAAGAGAAGGUCUCUUGAGGUCUGCUACCUAGAAAUCCUGGACAGAAGGAUUAUGAACAUAUCAGAGCAGGGGGCCAAGGUUAUGUCCUUGUUAGUUCACUAUAGUACUUAGCACAUUUGUGAAGUCAGGAAGUACAGUCCAACUCUGAGAGUCUGCUUUCCAGUAAUCUGUGAUCAAUGUCAUAAAACAGAUUGGUUUUUCCUCACACCACAGGAUGCCACUGGGCCACUUGAAUGCACAUUUGUGUUUGGGGCCCACUAGGCUAAGCAGAAGAGGGCUUUGAAAGUAAACCAUGGGGGGAGGGGGGCAUCCCUUAGCUAACAGCAACAGUAAUGACAACUUUUUUUGUCUGCCCUCCUUUUGGGUCUUCUGCCCUGCCCCUUGCCUUGUGUUGUUACAGAAAACGGAAUACUGAUGGAAAUGAUUCAAUCAGGCAGGUGGCAAUAAUGAUUCCACUCUGCUGCCUGCAAGCCUGGGGGAUUCUUUUUCAGCUUAGCAAAUGAUAUCAUGGCUAAUGCCUGAAAGAAAAUAACUAGCAGGUCCAAGGGAAAUUAAACUCUCCUUCUGUGAUUCCCUUUCUGUUAUUUUCUACUGGAAAUUUGUGUUUGGGAAGAAUUUCUGAGUCAUUUAUGAAGGAUUUCUGAGUCGUUUGCUGUAGGCAAAUACUUGUGUGAGCCUAAUGGAGUGGAGAGCAGUGAAGACAGAAGUCACAACCAGAGGCGAAGGCUGUGAGUGGCAGUGGUGGCUGCACCAGGCCUCGUGUCCUGCAUGGCGUUUGUAACCCUGAGCACAUGCUGUGGCCCACAGUACUGGUGAACACAGGCCCAGCCACCCUGGCUUUCCUUCCAGAGGCCAUUAAGGUGCAGGCUCUGCCCCCCUCAGUGAGCAUUGUGCUGAAUUUGCAGAAAUAAAUCAAAAGAAUGGGAAGUCAUGCCCUGCCCCUCUACUCAUAAGCAUUGGAUUGAGGUGAGUUUCAGAACAUCCAACAAGGGUGCAGCCACCCUGACUCACUCUGGGGCUUGUAAUGCUACCAUUUGUACUUUAUUCUUUUCAUCUGAGCAUUUUCUGAAAGGAAUAAUCUUAAGCUUUAUUGCUCGUUUAACUAGUAGACUGGAUGAAGAACAGGGAGGACAAGAGGAUGCUCUGUCUCCAGAAGAGGUCUGACUAGGUCACGGGACGAGUAUUCCUUGUGGAGUUUAGAGACCCAAGAAAAAAAUGCUCCUCCUUCUUCCCUCCUCAUGUCCACUUAAUGUGGUGAUUAUAUUUGUGAAAUCAGAGUAUGGAGAGUCAAAGGCAGUAUUCAAAGGGAGCAAAACUACCAAAGAGGAAAAUAGAAAAGUCUAACAGGCUGUGGUAGCAAAGGGGUGGGCACUAUUGUGUAGCAGAAGUUCCAGAAUUUUUUUCCCCUGGUAACUAGCUGCAAAUAACUUGUGGCCACAUGCCACGGACCUGUGGCCAGACCCCAGUAGUCCUGGGGUCUUCUAGGUAAGAAUCCUUGUCUCUCUGAACCACAACACACUUAUUUGCAAAGCUGGGGAAAUGGUGAGCGCCUGGAAGAGCUGUUGCCAAGAUUCAAUAAAAUGUCAUUGCAAAGCCCCUGGCUGGAUGGGUGUGUAUGUGAGAUCAGUGUAGUUUCCCUUUCCAUAUGGUGAUGGAAGGCUCCCGGAUAUGGCCACCACCUUCUUUUCCUUCUGUUCUUCCUGUUUCUCUGACUUGGUGCCUUUCAGAGUCAUUAAGCAGCCUCAACCUCCUAUUCCCCACAUAAAAGCAGAUGCCUUCCAAAAUUUACGACCAGAAGCAGGGCAUUGACCUUGAUUGCCUCUUUCAGGUAAGGAUGGAACAGUUGGGGGAGGAAUGAGUUCACUGCCUGCUCCAGGGAGCAUCUACUUUCUGUGGGUUAAGAGGUUUGUUUUCACUUGUCUACAAGGUAAAUGGGUUUGAUUUUGUGUUAGAUUAUAAUUAAGAAUUCUUCCCAAUUGACAUUGCUGUUGUAAGAAAAGCUGUAAGUCCUCCCAUGGUUUAGCAAUGUAGGCUUGCAGUAAAGUGGUGCUUAGAGGAAGUUCUUCUCUCCUGAUAUAUACUUUGGUGCACACCGGGUUCAAUCAAUAUUGAUGAACUGAUCUCUUAGAAAGAAGAUAUGUGCAUUAGACCUUAGCUCAUCUAUUUAGUAAGUCAAUGGCUAUGCUUGGAAUAUUAGUGUCAGAACUAUUCUGAAACAUUACUUUCCAAGUAAUGGAAAAGUGGAAUAAAUUAUUUAUUGAGAACUUUGGUCAUAAAAUUCCCACUGAUCACUGGAGGCAAUAAGAUUAACCAUAUAAAAUGAGAAAUAAUAUACAAUUUUGGUCAACAGUUAAUAAUGAUAAAUGGGGGACAAAGAGAAAAACUUUUUUAAAAACAAAUCAGAAAUGUAAUGCUUAGUUAAUCCAGACUCUGUUUGCAGUUUUAAAGAUUAGCAGGUGGAUCAUUUUUACUUAUUUGAAAAUAUGCCAUUAAGAAUGAAGUAUUUAGGGAUGGGUAUAUAGCUCAGUUGGUAGAGUACUAUAGAGUACUUGCCUCACAUGUACAAGGCUCUGGGUUCAAUCCCCAACACCACAAAAAAAAAAAAAAAGAUGUAUUUAGAAUUUUUCCUAAAAUGUCUUUAAUGUUUUAAGCCUUUGUUCUGUUAAAAAGUUCAUGGAAGAUCAAGGAAAAAACAAUUUAAUUGUGACUCUUAGAAGCAGAAAGAAUGGCCAUACUUUAUGUGGUGUCCUGUUUAUUUCUCUAAGAUGAAAUUAAAUGUCAUGUACAUUGGGGAGCCAGCCUGAAUCUUUUCUAAGGCAGACAGCAACUUAGUAACCCUAAGAAAUAGUAGAUACUCACCAGAAAUAGGAAUAAAUAUGCUAGUAUUAGAAAGGAGACAAGGAAAUUUCUAUCUGUAUGAAUGGAAACCAUCGAAAGUGCCAUAGACAUUCUGUUUACAGGGUUAUUGGUAACUUGAAUGUGGAAUAACCCUAGGUCAAACGGUCUCAAUCAUUAUCGUAUUACAGCCACCACAUUAGACCAUCUGGGGGUAUUAGGUCUUGUCUCCAAAGCAGUAUCCUAACAGUGCUUCCUGAGGAAAGAGCUAUUUAGCUGAUGGGGUUGUUGCUUGGGCACUUCAAAUUUGUGCUUUAAAAAGCCAAAGCACCACAUAGGCUGUGGGAGUCUAAAGUGAAUGCAGUGUGAGGGCCUGACCCUUCCAGCGAGCCAUUUCUUCACAGCUCUCUGCAUGGAGUACACAUUAUCGGCCUUUAUGUUAAAGUUUCACUUAAAAUUUCCGUCUGUGUGUUCUGACACCCAGAAGAUGAAGAUAUGACCAAUAGUUCUUACUGUGAUCUAAGUAAACCCUUUGGGGUGUGGUUUUUCAUAUGAAGACCUCUCUACUGUCUGUAAAUACUUAAGUAAGUCCAAAUAUGUGGAAAUGGGGAAGAAAAUGGAUUUUUAAUGUAAUUUGAACUUUGAAAUAAUUUCUAUGACAAGUUUCUGAACCCACUUUUAAAAUAUCAUUCAUUUUAAUGGUCAUCGUGACUAAAUGAUAAUCAGGUUACAAUCACUGAACCUACAUAAACAUCCAGGUUGGGUUACCUCUGUCCGUGUUAGUAUGAUUGACAAGUAGCACAGGGUAUCUAUAGCACUGUGUAUUGACUUAACAAAUACUGGUUAAAUGAAUAGAUGAAUUCGGGUAACCAAGCUGCAAUAGAAUUAAGCUUAAGUGCAGAGAUAAAUGGAUUUUGAAUAAGAUGAUCAUUAAAGCUUUUGUGUAAUGAUUUGCAUAAAUUGAUGCUAGCAAUAUUUUUAUUUAAGAAGAUAUUCAAUAUGUGUUUGGGAAGCAAUAUAGUUCUCUGCUUAUUUGUUUUAUCCCUGUGCAAUCAUCUUCCUUAAAAAUGCUGAGCUAUACCAAAAAAUGCCAGGAAGUCACUGAGAAGAUCACAUGAUGUGUGCAAGUGUGACCUUCAGGCUGGCACCUAUUAAUGCAUGGGCAGCACUAUCAAACUGCUCGUACAUUGUAUGUUGAUAUAUAGCAAUCUCUAGUCUAUGUUGUAAAUUCUGUCUUACAAUUCCAAUUGAAUUUGUGGUAUUAUUCAGUACUUAAUCAUACUGUAAAUACAUAAAGCAAAUUGUAGCUAUUUCUUGCAGCCAUUAUUACUGUAUGAAAUGAUUGUCUCUCUCCUCCCAGCACAUUUGUGGCAGGGAAACUCAGGUACAGAAAGACCAUGCUCCAACCUGGGUGGCAGUAGCUAUAAAAGCCUGUUGUUCUGUGUUUGUUUUGCAUGCUGGGAGUUGACUCAGGACCUCACCUAUGUGAAAUACAAGCUCUAUCACUGAGCUGCAUCCUUAGCCAACAUUUAUGAGUUUCAAUGUGCUCUGUCAAAUCAGGAUACUGCUACUAAUUCUCAACCUCUGUUAAACUAAGCAAACUCCUCCUACCUGGCAGGCUGAGAUUUGUUGGAAAGGAAAUAUGUGUUUUUUUGGUUGGAUACAAUGUUGCUACUAGUUAUUAUAGUUGAUAAAAUAGCUCACAUUGAACAAGUACAGGUCAAAGUAAACUUUAUAAAAAUGUGUUGAAUUGAACUGAUUGGAAGUCAGUAAGCAGUGGAUGGCACAAAAGGAUGUUGGAGAAGCAGCCAAAUUGGAGGAAGGGAAGGGUGGAUUACUGCUGGAGCUCAGUACCUUAAAAGCAGUGAGUGAGCGCUGAUAGCCUGGCAGUGGAAACAUCUCAAAGAGCAUUGAGGUUCCAUGUGAUGUAGGAACAAAUAGUCCUACAUAUCUUAGCAGCACUUGAGUUUGUUUUAAGGCAGAGCAUGAUAGCUCAUGUUUGAAUUAUUAAGAGAACUUUAAAUUAUGCUUAUGAUACUGUGUUUAAGAAAGAAAGAAUAUAUGACUUAGAAAACUUUCCAUUAAAAGGAUUAAGAUAAGAAUUGGUAUCAUACUUUAAGUCUAUUAUCUAGAUUAAAAACACAACAGACAAACUUUACAUGGAAUUCAUUUGCAAAAGCUCCAAUCACUAAGCUGACCUCACCUUCACAUUCUGGCUUGCUGAUACUGGAUUUAGUGGCAGUUUCCUCAUCUUUUAAAUAAAAAAUAAAAAUACUACUCAUUGUUAGUUGGCAAGAAGUUUAAAUCAGAUAAACCAUGAAAGGCAUUUACCACAUUACUUUAGACACAGUAUGUGUUAAAUAUGUUAGUUUGUUUUAAAUAAUUGUUAUAACUACUGUUUGUGUGUGUGUGUGUGUGUAUGUGUGUGUUUCUGGGUAUUGAACCCAGGGCCUCCUGUGUGCUAGGCAAGCACUGUAUACCUCCAGCUCUCCAGCUCUAUUUUACUUUUUUUUUAACACAACACCUUUAUUUUAAUUAUUUUUAUGUGGUGCUGAAAAUCGAACCCAUGUUUUGCACAUGCUAGGAGAGUGCUCUACCGCUGAGCCACAACCCCAGUCCCUCUAUUUUACUUUUUUAUGACUUUUUCCCCUGAAAUCUUUAGGUUCAAGUCCUUUUACAUUGCCUUUAAGUUCUUAUCUAUUCUCUUGUUUGGUAUGUAUUUCCUUUUCUUUGAUCGAUUUCCCAAACAUUGUUUUUAUAAUGGAUGUUACUAUCCAUGAAAAACUUUGAAGAAGAGUUGGUGUUACAUUGUAUGUGGUGGUUGUAAUACAUUCUCUGCUGUCUUUUUUUUCUUGACUUGAUUGGAUGUUGGAUAUUUCUUUGGUACCCUCUCCAUGCAUGUUCACAAGUUUCCCUCCCCAGUCCUGAGUAGUAGCCCUACAGCAUGACUGCUUGCUAGCCACAUCCAUAAACUGAAGCAUCUAAGCUAUGCGCAUAGUUGCAUAUCUGCAACUAUGUCUCUCUGCUUCUUUCCUCUUGUCUUUUCUGGUUCUAACAUUUCUUUUGAUUUAAGAAAAUGUCACAAGAACAUUCCAAAAAUGAUACAGCAUUUUACCUACUUUUGUGACAUAACUGUAACUUGAGUGGAUUUUUUCUCAACAGAGAGGAUUGUGACAUUUCUAAACAAAUAAAAACAACAGACUUUACUAUUUCUUACAUGCCAUUCAUAAAACAUCAGCUCAGGUGGAAAAGGCCAAGUUUUCAACUGAAGUUAAAAUGAAAACUUUGAGUUUCAAAGCUUUUCACUAUCAGGUACCAGUCUUUAUCUUGAUGAGAGACUUCAAACACUUUGGAAUGAUAAUUCUGAUUAAACAUUUGAUGGCAUGUAUGAGGUGUUGUUCUAGGGACCAGGAUCUGUCCUGUAACUUUGUAUACCUAAAAUAUAUUAUUAAGGGAAACAAGAGUACGGAGGUGGUUUGGGUUUAACUUUGAAGAAUGAUCAGAGAUAAAUAUUUGACUUGUGAAUAUAUUAUUUGACUGAUGGGUACUCAAAUAACAUAUUUUAAAUGUACUGAAAAAUCAAAUAAAUGGAGAACUUUUCCAUCUCACUAAUAAUUUCACUUAAAGAGAUUAUAAUUCCUCACUUGAAGAUAUUUUAAUAAUAUAAAUCUGAUCCCAUCACUCACCCCCUCACCCCCCACUGAAAACCUUAAUGACUUAUUAGUGCUGUUAGAAGAAAGUGCAGUCUCUGUCACAAAACCAGCUCUAGUUGGCUCAUCUCCCUGCUUUUUCCCAGCUUCCAAGCAUACUGCCACCCUUCAUUUGCUCCCUCCUGCCUCGAGACCUUUCAGGACCGUUGCCUUCCUUUUGAAUGAAUUUUUUUCCCAUUCUUUACACCAUCAAGUCCCCCCCAACCAUCACUUCCCAUUGUUGCCACCUUGCCUGGCCUCCCGUUCUUUUCCUGUAUGGCACUUGCUACAAUUGAUAGACAUUUAUUUGUGUGUUUCUUCAGCAUCUUAUUUACAGUUGCAUACUUGCUGCCUAGCACGGUACCUGGCAAAGAGCAGACAAUGGUUAACUGAGUGCUGUGUGGUUGCAUACACAACAUUGCAAGGAAAAAAAGGAGCAAACAAUGGAAGGGUGUGUCAUCCUUGCAUCUUUUUAAUGUUGACUAGCUUAAACAAUCUGCCUCUCACGAGAUUUCCUCAAUGAAACCAUUCUAAUAUUUUCUUCAUCUGAAUAGGAGCAACACCAACGUUGAUGGGUUAGGAACUAGAUGUAGCCACAAACAGAGGUUAAGUAGAUAUAGCUUUUGCCUGAAUAGAAUUCACCAUAGAAACAGAGGUAAGCAUUUGUCUAACUCCUCAGAAAGUGGUGUGCAGAGUGCCGGACAGGAGGCGGCUCCUAAGGACUAGUAUUUUGUGGAGAGGCAGACAGAACAGGGGAACCUCCCUCAGGGAGACGAUGUGGAAGCUAAAUGGGCUGGGGAGGAUGAGUCAAAUUUUGCUAGAUGGAGAAGGUCGGAAGGCUGCUUUGGGCAUUGAAAACUAAAAUGAGCUAAGGGGGAGGGCCAUCAAAGGAUACCCUGAGUUCUGGGAAUGGUGAGAAGUUCUGUGUGGCCAGGAGUGGGUGUGGGGAGUGAGUGAGAAGAGCAGCAGGAAAUGACAGUGCAGCAGAGUCGGGCCUGGUCCUGGGCCAUUUGUGGGAUUUUCCUACGGAGCUCAGAUUUGAUUUUAUAGAGCAGCGGAGGCCAUGAAAGCUAUGAGGGAGAGACAGAUCGGCCUUGUAGACACAUAGUGCAGAGUUCUGUUUGAAGACCCAACACAGAUGUUUUAAUAGGUUGUGGUAAUGAGUAGUUAAAUGAGUGGGAAGUGAUGUAAGAGGGCAAUGAAUAAAAGGCACACUUUGCCAAAAUUAGGUUGUGACCAGGAGGGAAAUAAUGAAGAGAUCACUUCUAAAAGUCUUCUCUUGCUUUUUUUUUUUUUUUUAAUUAUGAAAGAUACAUAUUUAGUAGGGAAAAUUUGGGAAAUUCAGAAAAUUACUAAAGAGAAAAUAAGGAUCACAAAAUGAUGUCCACAAGGGAAAGCAGAGUCAAAGGAAAAAUGCUCUUAGGUUUGUUAGGGUGAGAGGAAAGGGUAACUAUUGGAAAGGAUGCAGAAGAAUCUUUCCUUCUAGAGAUCCCUGAGUUAUUAUUAUGUUUUUAUUUAAAAAUUGUUUUUUUUGCAGACCCUAGUUCUAAUUUUAAUUUGAGGCACCACAAGCUUUUGAGGCUCAAGGAUUUUGUACAGAUUUUUCCUUUGUCUAGAUUUUUCCUUUGUCCUUUCUGUCUCUCUACCCCUAUUUUGCCCAACUAACUUUUAUUCCUCAUGUAGGCCAAUAAUAAGAAAAUUGCAGAAACUUAUACUGAUCAUUUGCCCAAUGCUUGUCACCAUGGUUAGUGUUUUCAUUUAUUUUUGAUAGGCCUCUAUACAGUAGGUACCAUUACCCCAUUCUACAGAUGAAGAUACUAAGGUAUUAUAAGGUUAAGUGACUUCAGCAAAUAUGAAGCUUUACUUUCUCAGGAACCAAUUUCUGCCCAUCCUGCUGCUACUACCAAGUUAGGAACCCCUAUAAUGUGAUCUCAUAGCUCCUAAUUCCUCCUGGGACACUUUGAUCAUGUUAAUACUUGUUUAUGAAUGCUGAUCUUCCCUGCUAGACUGAAGCCCUGUGAGUGCAGGUUCAGUUUCUGUCUUGAUCCUUACUGUGCCCUCCAGUGCUUAGCUUUGUGAUUAUCUGGCACCUGGAAGGGUGCUUGAUUAGCCAAGCACUUGACACUCAUGGUCACCACUCCUGCAGUCAGGUCAGUCCAAGGCUGUUACACACUGACCUGGCAAAAGCACCCACAUGGGAAGGGAACAAUGGUUGGCUCACCAUAACAGCCUGGACCCCUGAGAUGAGGAGUUUGGGAUUUUGUGGAGCACAAAGACCUCCAGAUCAGCCCCUCUGCCUUUCUCUUCCAUCUCCUCUCAAUUCCCAUAAUUCCAUGGAGCGUUCUCACAACUGGUCUGAUUUUCUGGGCUUUAACUAGAUCAGGUCCCUGUGGAGGUUCAGAUGACAGGGACCCUGGGACAGCCAUGGUUGAUAUUCAGAUCCUCAGACCAUCUCCUUUAAGGGUUCAAAUAUGCUUUUAUUCAUGUUGGAUCCAUUUUAUUUUCACCAAACUUUUAUAAUUUGAAAACAAAUUAGCGGGAGAUCAUAGAUAAUUUUACAAAAUAUUGGUGCACUAAAGUUUCAUUUUUAUCUUUUGUCUGAUGUGUUAGAUGUAAGUAGAUUUUAAAAUACUAAUAAAGAACACUGAGGUUACUUCACUACCAAGAUGGUAAAUUAUUCGUGUUGACAUUUUCAUUCAAAUGUAGGCUACAUCGUGCAUUCUAGAGCAAAAACUUUUUUGGGGUGAGUUUUGGUCCUGUUGCUUCUUUAUCUUCCAUAACAAAGGAGAUGAAAACUGAUGGCACUGGGAGAUGAGCACAUUCAUGUUACCCAGUGAAUCUUGGAUAUUCUGAGUACAACAGCCAAUAUCCAAAGGGGAGCACUUAAAUUAGUUUAUCAGAGCAUUAAAAUUUAAGGAUCCUGUUUUCCAGUUAACACAAAGUGUCAAGAAAAGGAACACAUUAUACAUUUUUUUUUCUAGUUUUAGACAUUCGAGGGUUUUGUUUUUGUUUUUAUUUCCUUAAUAAAAAUCAGUCACAGAACUAAGUAAGGUAUUUAAGUCAGGUCAACACAAGGUUCAAAAUAUCAGCUUGGGAACGACUUAAGUCUUUAUCUUUGCCUUCCUGUUUAUUUAUAGACUGGAGAAGGAAG
rnacentral:lncRNA from 1 species